GUCCACGCCGUAAACGAUGGAUACUAAGUGUUUGGGAAGUUAACCUCCUGAGUACUAAAGCUAACGCAUUAAGUAUCCCGCCUGGGGAGUACGGUCGCAAGGCUAAAACUCAAAGGAAUUGACGGGGGCCCGCACAAGCGGUGGAGUAUGUGGUUUAAUUCGAAGCAACGCGCAGAACCUUACCUACCUUUAACAUCCCAUGACAACUACAGAGAUGUAGCUUUCCUUUCGGGGACAUGGUGAUAGGUGCUGCAUGGCUGUCGU
rnacentral:rRNA from 1 species